rnacentral:rRNA from 1 species
GGAUCCCAUCAGAACUCCGAAGUUAAGCGUGCUUGGGCGAGAGUAGUACUAGGAUAGGUGACCUCCUGGGAAGUCCUCGUGUUGCAUUCCU